rnacentral:tRNA from 1 species
GGCUUCACAGCUCAUUUGGUCGAGCAUCGCACCGGUAUCGCGGAGGUCACGAGUUCGAAUCCCGUUGAAACCC